AUACGGAGGAUCCGAGCGUUAUCCGGAUUUAUUGGGUUUAAAGGGUGCGCAGGCGGCCGUUUAAGUCAGCGGUUAAAUCGUGGGGCUCAACCCCAUUCUGCCGUUGAUACUGGGUGGCUUGAUUGCGGUCGAGGUUGGCGGAAUUCGUUGUGUAGCGGUGAAAUGCAUAGAUAUGACGAAGAACACCGAUUGCGUAGGCAGCUGACCAGACCGCAAAUGACGCUCAUGCACGAAAGUGCGGGGAUCGAACAGGAUUAGAUACCCUGGUAGUCCGCACAGUAAACGAUGAAUACUUGUUUUCGGCGAUAUAAUGUCGGAGGCAAAGCGAAAGCGAUAAGUAUUCCACCUGGGGAGUACGCCGGCAACGGUGAAACUCAAAGGAAUUGGCGGGG
rnacentral:rRNA from 1 species